rnacentral:rRNA from 1 species
GAUGAACGCUGGCGGCGUGCUUAACACAUGCAAGUCGAACGAAGCAUUUAAGACAGAUUCCUUCGGUUUGAAGUCUUUUAUGACUGAGUGGCGGACGGGUGAGUAACGCGUGGGUAACCUGCCUCAUACAGGGGGAUAGCAGCUGGAAACGGCUGGUAAUACCGCAUAAGCGCACAGUACCACAUGGUACAGUGUGAAAAACUCCGGUGGUAUGAGAUGGACCCGCGUCUGAUUAGCUUGUUGGCGGGGUAACGGCCCACCAAGGCGGCGAUCAGUAGCCGACCUGAGAGGGUGACCGGCCACAUUGGGACUGAGACACGGCCCAGACUCCUACGGGAGGCAGCAGUGGGGAAUAUUGCACAAUGGAGGAAACUCUGAUGCAGCGACGCCGCGUGAGUGAAGAAGUAGUUCGCUAUGUAAAGCUCUAUCAGCAGGGAAGAUAGUGACGGUACCUGACUAAGAAGCUCCGGCUAAAUACGUG